rnacentral:rRNA from 1 species
UACGGAAGGUCCUAGCGUUGUUCGGAAUUACUGGGCGUAAAGCGCAUGUAGGCGGAACAUAAAGUUAGAAGUGAAAUCCCUGGGCUCAACCGAAGAAUUGCUUUUAAAACUUUUGUUCUGGAAUUCAGGAGAGGAGAGUGGAAUUUCCAGUGUAGAGGUGAAAUUGCGUAGAUAUUGGUAAGGAACACCAGUGGCGAAGGCGACUUUCUGGACUGAUAUUGACGCUGAGAUGCGAAGGCAUGGGUAGCAAACGGGAUUAGAUACCCCGGUAGUCCAUGCAGUAAACGAUGGGCGCUAGUCGUCGGACUUUUGUUCGGUGUCGUAACUAACGCGUUAAGCACCCCGCCUGGGGAGAACGGUGGCAAGAUUAAAACUCACAUAAAUUGACGGGGACCCGCACAACCAGGGGAGCAUGUGGUUUAAUUCUACACAACGCGAAAAAACUUACCAGCGUUUGACAUGGAAAGUACCGGUUUCAGAAUCGUAGCCUUCAUUUCGGAUAGCUUUCACACAGGUGCUGCAUGGCUGUCGUCAGCUCGUGUCGUGAGAUGUUGGGUUAAGUCCCGCAACGAGCGCAACCCUUAUCGUUAGUUCAUCACAUUUCGGGUGAGGUCUCUAGCGAAACUGCCGGUGAUAAGCCGGAGGAAGGUGGGGAUGACGUCAAGUUCUCAUGGCCUUUACACGGUGGGUUACACGCGUGCUACAAUGGUAUCUACAGCGGGACCCAAUGGCGCGAGGGGGAGCAAAUCACCAAAACUUAUUUCAGUUGGGAUGGCGUUCUGCAAUUCGAGUCCAGGAAGUGGGAAUUGUUAGUAAUCGCGGUUCACCAUGCCGCGGUGAAUACGUGCCCGGGUCU